rnacentral:rRNA from 1 species
AUUGAACGCUGGCGGCAGGCUUAACACAUGCAAGUCGAACGAGUGGCGGACGGGUGAGUAAUGCUUGGGAAUCUAGCUUAUGUAGGGGGAUAACUACUAGAAACUGUAGCUAAUACCGCAUACCAUAGGAUGUGCCCAGUGGGGAUUAGGUAGUUGGUGGGGUAAAGGCUCACCAAGCCGACGAUCCCUAGCUGGUCUGAGAGGAUGACAAGCCACACUGGGACUGAGACACGGCCCAGACUCCUACGGGAGGCAGCAGUGGGGAAUAUUGCGCAAUGGGGGCAACCUGAUGCAGCCAUGCCGCGUGAAUGAAGAAGGCCUUCGGGUUGUAAAGUUCUUUCGGUAGGGAGGCGUUAACUGCAGAAGAAGCACCGGCUAACUCCGUGCCAGCAGCCGCGGUAAUUC